UCUGGUAAUAUUUUUUUAAUGAUAUUUUCUUCUCUUUACGUGUUCAUAGCUCUUUUUAUUUUGAAGAAUGUUUAUAUAAGAAUACGUUCUUUUUGUCACUCGUGAAAAAUUAUUGAUAAUAUACGCGCGACGAGAAAUUUGCUUUGAUAUCCUCCUGCCGUGACACUAUUAUUUGAAAGCAGAAGAAGCGUGUAGUAUGUCAAACGUCUAUCGUAGGCGAUGGCUUUCGGGGAGCUUUUUCAGAAAGUGCGCGAGCUACGUGUGUUAUUUCAAUAAAGACGUAUAGAUUCGUGUAUCGUGUAUACUUGACUAGGUGAUUUUGCAUACACCCACGUGUGGUUCCAAAGGCUAUAGCAAAUUUCGAAACAGUCGAUGCUGAAAAUAAACGCGGGCGAGCUUUCACUCAAAACAAGGAACGUCCACAACCAAGUCUAGCGUGCAGCUUUACGUAUCGCCGUCGAUAAACGACGAUAAGUGUAUCAACGAAAUUGAUAUUCUUGUUGCAGCGACAUUUUCUCGCAUAUUUCUUAUUAUACUAUAUAUAUCUUAUAAGAUUGAAACGUUUUAAAUGGGUGAACAGAAAUUAUUAAAAAUUGUUGCAACAUAUUUUUUUAAUUCAUAAGAAACUACUUUUUAAAUUAAUUUUAAUUUUUUGUUUCGAAACUUUUAAUGUUUAUUAUUGAAUAAAUUAAGAGGAUCGCGAACUCCAGGACUUCUAAAUAACUAUUUUAAAUAACGCUAAUCAGUUUUAAGAUUGAACGUUAGAAAUCCCAGACGUGUUCAACUUUUUUUUUUUUAUCUUUUGCUGCGACUCUUAGUGCGAGCUUGGAAAUUCACCACCAAAUUCAAGUGGACUUCACAUUCGACGAUUUACGGCAGUUUUCGGGCAUAUCUUUUCUCUCUGCCUAACUUCGCGUGCGCUAUCCCUUCGUUCUUCCUUUCUGCUCUUAUCGGAUAAAAGGCAUUAGAGAGCCGCUUAGGUGCAACCCAUAAAAGAUAAUAUAUUUUGCGCGAUUCAGGUAUACCCUGGAUCAAUUCUCUCGAGAGGAAAUCUGGUAGAGAAGUCAGGUUGAUGCAGAUCGCUCCGGAAAUUUAUAUAGGUUCGACAAAUUAUAGUGAACACUUGCAAUUGCAAAAGUGCAAACAGAAAUGAUUUAAACAAUAUUCAGCACCAUAAAACUCACGUAGGAUUUAUUUUGCAGGAUAUUGAAAAAUCGAUGUGAAAUAUUUUUGGAAUAUAUUCCUCCUAUGAAAAUUUAUAUAUAUUUCUAAAAGACCUUUAUACCCUAUUCUCGGAUUAUAAAUAGUUGUUCGAUAAGAUCGAGUAAGACCGGAUUAAUGACAAUUUAACAUUUGUUAAAUUAACUUUUAUAUUUCCAUAAUCUUUGUAAUUGUUUAAAUGAUGGAAUUUGACGUUUUUCUACACAUAUUAUUUUGUACUUAUCGCUUCUCUUAAGCCAGACUUGCAUAAAACAAGAAGCUUCAUUCAAAUUUGAAAGAUAGACGAUUACGAGCAUCUCUCCUCUGAUUAAAUCGCGAUAGACGGAGUAUCGGAUAAGUGGAUACCUCUACUGCACUGUGAGCGUGGUAUCUCACAGAGCCGCGCAACCAUCGCCGAACUUGCUGCGAAACCGCGCCAUCGCGCUCGAGAUCUAUUUGUUCCCGAUGAACCGACGAUUCUCGAGAUAGCGGGUGAAGGUAGUGAAUCCUCUUACUAUGCGGCUCGUAUCGUGGGUAAACGCGCCGGUCCGAGAUGCUUUCGUUGAAAUUCAAAUCUCUGGCACCAGCGUGUUGCGCUCGCCGAUCCGUUUUCGCGAUUCAUUUAGAAUGCUCGUACACAAUCGAACAUGAGAAAACUCGAUUAGGAAUUCACGUAGCUCUUUCAUACAUAAAAUAUAUUUUAAAAAGCCAAUAGAGACCUUUAUUCCUAGAAUCGACAGACUGCUAAAAUUAUUUUUAGGAAAUUGAGGGUACAAUUUAAGUCAAUUCAACCGAAAUUUAAUUUAAAAGAAGAACGUAGUAAUUAUUAAUAUCAAUGUGUUAUUAAUAGAAUCAAUCAAGUGUAGGUUAAAAAGACCGAGAUAAAAGUUUAAUUCUUAAAUUAAUUACAUUUAAAUAUCGACCAUAUUAGCUGAAAAAUUUGUACAUAUUUUUUUUUUAAACGAUUAAAAAAAUUUAAAAGUUAAUCCUUAGUAAAAUGUCUUAAUUGCCUAAUAAAAAUGCAGCAUAGAAAAUUGCAUAUAGGAUAUUUGCAGUCUUUACUCAUUGCCAUUAAUGUAUUUCCAAUAAAACGGAAUGUAGAGGGACCUACGGCUCGUCUUUGAAUUCAAACUAGCGUUUAGUCAGAAUCUCGCAUUAUCGGUAAAGUCGGCUUUAAAUCACGGCUAAUGCUCGAGAUAACGAGCGAAUAAGAUAAACUCACCCUACGUGAUUUCCUGAUAAGUGCGUUCGACUACUCGGGGCGGCCCGGUUGGGUGAGCGCGGCGCGAGAAUUCCGCUUGAAAGGGGCGAGGAGGAAGUACCGCUCAAAGGACGCGAGAAGAACGGUGGCGCGCGUUCGCGAGGAGAGGGCGCAAACUUUGGAUUCAAAGACAGCGGGAGAGCUCUGAAAGAGGGAUAAAUCUGGAGAGGGGGCGGAGCCGAACCGGGCUGAAUCCUAAUUACGACGAGCCAGAGGCGCGCGUUAGACGUGACCCAGGGCUAAACUCCCUUCUAAGGACUGGAGCUAAGAGCCAAGCGACGGCUAGAGGUACUUCCGGGAGCGGAUGGGUUAAAUGUUGCCGGCAGCAAAGGAGCCGCCGUCGGAUCCGCCCGGGCGGGCGGAUUCGGGGUAUGCGUCCAUUUCGUCCUCGAAAGCAUCCCCCGGGUGGCCGUUCCACUACGUGGUAGAAUUAACGCCCCGGCCUCUGAUGGCCUUACUCUCAACCGGUCGGACUCCUAAUGCGAAUCCAGAAACUUUUUAGCUUGCUUAUUUCGCCGCAGCGUGAAAACCGCGCGACAUAAGUCGCCAACCGCGACGCGAAACGCCGCGAGGAACUUUUCCACUUGUAAAACCGUGGAACCUCACCUACCUUUAGCGCUCGCGUCUCCACUUUGUUUUCGAGGACGGUGAAGUUAGUUCGGGCUCUCGGAGAAUUAAUAAGCAGCCGAACGCCGUCAUCGUUACCGUUAUCGCGCCAUUAUUUCAUUAGACACGUUUGGAUCAUCGUCAAAGUGGGUUGCGCAGCCCGCAACCUAAUAUCCGCGCCGGAAGAUCUCCCGCAGGAGACCUUGAAACUUCGGAAGACAAGUAGAUACUGCCGGAAGGCUUCCCUCUGAAAUUAGCACCCUCGUUUAAUGCCGCGGCAGAUAUAGCCGCCGGGUCAGAUUUCCGACGUACUUGCCAGAGGCGCGUUUCACGACCUUUGCACUCAAGUGAGGCACGAAGUGAAUUGCCGGGGCGCAUCCAUCUAUCCCGCACACCGAGGACCUCUUCGUACAUAAUCCUAAAUUAAGCACGAUUUCCAGUUAGGAGUAUAACUCGCCAGUGAAUGAACGCCAAACAUCACGUCGGGUAAUGCGUCUCGGACGUAUCGUUCGCAAAGCUGCCUCUCAAAGAUCUUUGAUCUCGGUAAACUUUACGUUGUUAUACGGUAAACAGCAGUUAUUUACUCUUUGGAGCGAUCUAUCUUUCAUGAAUUUCUGUGAAUUUUUUUUUUUUAGAAAGGAGAAAUAUCAAAUAAUAAUAAUAUUUUCCGAUGUAAAGUAACCGAAACUAAAGUUUGGAUUUUAAAAGUCACAAAAUUUAUGUGAAUUUUUAAGAGAAUGUAACACAAACUUUACACCAUUAAAUAUGGUUACUUGAUAAGAUUCCAUGUAUUUUUCCAUGUUGCUAUUUUUAAAAGUUUUUACUCGCAUCAGUCAGGAUUUAUCAUCGGAGGUAAUACAAUUUUUAACUUGUGAUUCAUCUCCGUAUAUAUUUCUGCCAUCUACUUUAGAAAAAUGAAUAAUUAUAAAGUUUCCCUGUACAUUUUACACCCUCUCAUAAUUACACUCGAGGAUCGUGGAUGUGCAAAAAGUAUGAUAAUUACGGAUCGACUCGUUGCCGCAAAAUCUUGACGCACCCGCGUAUAUCUUUAUCAUUAUGACAUCAUUAUUAACAGAGUCGGGUGCUUGAAAGUAUCGCACGCAAUUUGUUCUCAUUAGUGAGAGAGUCUUUUCUCUAUUUUCUUUCUUUUUUUUUUUGUUACCCAAGCUUGUUGCGACCGCGAAGGUUUGCGCUCGGCAAAUAACAUUUCGCGCGUUCAGCCGCAUAAAAUAAUAGAGUAGUCGCUAAUACCGUCAUUCUCGAAGCUUACGAAGGCCCAAUUGGCAAUGCACACACGUACACGUAUGCGCAUGCGAUAAUUUAAAGUGGGCGCCGUUUGCGCCUUCUCUCCCGUGCUAUAUACGCUCUCGCGUACGUAUACGUGCCUUCAAAAACGAUAAUGCCCGUCGCGUUGCUCGAAGACUCCGUCGGUGCAUCGCGGUGAAUUUCACUUGGCGGUAAUAGGAUCACGCGAAGAUAAACUCCGGGAUUAGGGGAUUAUCGAGUAACCUGCGUGCGUGCGGGCAGCCUUAAUGGUAUGCUAAUUUGGUGCUAAUUCUGAAGGGAAACAGCUAAUAACUCAACGGCGCUCUAACCGCGGAAGAUUCCCCCGCCGCCGCGCCGAUGUGGCCUCGAUAUAAUUCCGCUAACUCGCGCUUGUCUCUUAGAAUAUGAACAGUAACACGUGUUAUCCCUCCCACGUCGUCAUACCAAAGCGAGCUCAUCGUUCGCGGUCGUUUGCCGAAAAUGUUUCCGGCAGUUGCAUCGAGCGGGCAAAGUUUUAGAGUUACUAAUUGAAUUACAAUUCGCGCGUAUCACACUGUUGUUGUUCUGAUCUUAGUCUCGUCGUCGCCGUCGUCGUUGUCGCCGUCGCGCGAACUUGUGAUUAUAAUCGCAUCGCAAAAUUGAGGUGCGGUAUAGAUACGCCGUGAAUCUUAUGCGGUAACUUGGCUUAAUGUCGUUUAGGUGAUGUAAUGCUUUAACCAAAACGGAUAUACACAUAGCAAGUAAACUCAUGAUAUACAGUGACAUCAGCCAUGUGUCGCGACGUCAGACUUGUAUGUUUUUUAUUUAGCAUGAAAUAUGUACGUUUAACUAUAUAAUUAAACAUCCCUAUUUAGGAUUAAAUAAAACUACACCUCCUAUUUACGUCAUUAAUUAUUAUUAUUAUUAUUAAAAUUACGUUUAUCCAUUAUUAAAGUUGGUGAGAUCCGUACUUCUUCUCUUUUGUUUAUAACUUCGAAAGUUAUGCAAUGACGUUCACCGUCGAUCGAUGCGUGCGACGUGACUCACGACUAUAGCGAUCAACGUGCCGACGCAAAAUAGCGAGACAAAAUAGUCUGCAGCUUAAGUGUCGCUUAUCAUUUACGGCGGUAAGAAAGGAAGCCGGCGUGUUCAAAACCGCGCGAACAUCCGUUUAAUCUGCAAUCUGCGGAUCGGCUUUACCGGCAAUAGUUUCACACUUUAGGGGUUUCGGUAUGCAAAUGCCGGCGAAGAAACACGCGCGAUAUAUCGGCGGCGGCUGGCCAUUCGCCAGCUACUAUCCCUCGCAGCCGCCAGCUAUUGCGAUUCGCGCCGGCGACGUGUUACCGAAGUGCAUUGCAUAUUGCAACGCGGGUUAACCUGUGAAAAUCACGCCGAAAGACAAAUGGAAAAUGGUUUCGUGGAAAGCACGUGGCAUUCUUGAACGAUUAAAUUGCUCGUCAGAUUUAUAUGGAGUUUCCAACACAUGCUUAGUAAAAAUAUCCAGUUUGGCCUUCUAUACCUAUAUAUGCAGAAGUCUUUUAUUAAGAUUUCAUUUAGGGACGUUUUAAUGAACAGAAUGAUUUUAAAAAAACAUAAAAAGAAUACUUAUAUGAUAAUUAUAUGAUAAUUAUGUAACGGAAAAAAAUUUGCAGGUAUCACAAGUGAUUACUUUAAAGAUGAUUUUGCUCAAAUCAGAAGAACUUUUGUUAAAAAAAAAAUGUAUUUUCAGAUUACAAAAUUCUUUAAAUUAUAUAUAUUUUAUACAUAUAUAAAAUUGAGCUAUACAAUUAUCUUAAUAAAUGUUAAAAUAUAUAUUUUUUAACAAAAAUUUACAUUUUAAGAAUUUGAAUAAAGUUAUCUUUAAAAUAAUCACUUGAUAUACUAUCUGUAAGUUUUUUCUUUUCAUCAUGCAAUUAUCUUUUAUCACGUUUUUAUCGUGAAAAGGCUUACGAUUAUUAAUACAUUUAUUUAAUUUUUGACAUAUCCGUUUAUUUAGUUUAGAGUAUCCUGAGUUAUAGCUAUCUCAUUAGACUGUGGAAUCAAUGCAUUUUGGCAGACCGAAGACGCUAUGUUUAUCUUUUAUUAUAGAUAAGACGAAAAUUGAAUGAUGCAUCAAGAGGGUGAAGACUUUUCCGUCGUGAAUUAGACGGAACUUCUUGGAGAUUACAUCGAUCGCGUGAGGGACGUUAGACGCAUCGUGCGAGCGCAAAAUAUCUAGCAGUUCAUGCCUUUAGCUUAACGCUCGGUGAGUGUCAUCGGUGCGCCGUCCAAUCGCAUAUACGAUUCACCGGUAUGGCUCAGCGGCUCGAGAAAAGAACACGUACACCGCGACGUGUAAUUUCGCCGACCGUGUCUUUUGCACGAACUAUUCGAGGUCGAUUGCCGCAAUCGACAUGGCAUAGUACCUAACAGUUGUGCCGCCGUGCAAGUUCCGACGACGGGAAACACUUCCCGUCACGGGCUCAGCUAAUCGUCACAAUCAAGUAUGUACCUCGAAACGUGUAGGUGCACGAUACAUAGAACGUACUUCUUCCGUUAAUGUCAAACAUUGGUAUGGAAAGGUAUUCGUAUUAUUGAUGUCGAAUGUAUUAAGACACGAGAACGCUUUAAAUUCAUGAAGUAAUUUUGAAGUAAAUGGAACUGUAACAGAAGUUACCUGUACUAUAUUAAUGCAUACGCGAUUGCUUUUAAAAGGGGAAACAAAAAAUUAAAUAAUUUUAAUCGCGUGCACAGAAAAUACUUUGGAACUAAAAUGUAAUAACGACAAGACACGUACUUGUUACCUUAUACGCGCAAAGAUCUUAUAGAUUUCGCGAGCUACCCUCGUGAGUCCAUUUCUAUUAUUGCGCCAGUCCGAAUUUUAUGCUCUGACAAAGAUCAAAGAAUUCGUAGGAGGUAUGGGACAAUGAAGCGAGGCUAUGAAAUUCCGAAUCGACGCCCCAAUCUCAAUUGACAAACGUAUUUGUUCUGGCGGAACUUACUCUUCGAACUGACGACGACGACGUGCCUGAGUUACUUACGAUGAUCCUCUCUGACAAAAGCAUUCCGCAAGUUAUCGAUCGACCUCGCGGAGUCAGUUAGCUAAGAUUAAUUCGGCAAAGCCCGUGUGAGACUGCUUAGCUGCUACUUAACUUUGUGUUUGCAGUUCUGGAAGUUCUCUUAAUGUGUAUUAUGCGUGACUCGCUCUUGUUGUGCGUAAUUAAAUUCAAGAUGCUCCUAUCUAGAGCUGACGUGGAAAUGUUUCGUUAACAUGUAUGAAUUUAAGCGAGGAAUAAAACGAUCCUAAUUCAUGCAUUCCGGUACAGUUUGCAAAUGGUUCCGGUACAGGUUGCAAGCUGGAAAUUUAACAUUUCGAUAAAUAUUAACGUUGAUUACAUUUUAAGUAUCGUAUAUUUGAAUUAACAAAUUGGGAUUUGAUUUUCUCUAUAAUACUGUAUUAAAAAAUAUAUAUAAUUAUGGGAUUAUUUACAGUUUAAAAUCCAUAGAGUUGAAAAGAACGAAUCCGUUUAAAUGUGUAUAUAAAUAUUUGAUUUUUUUUUUUUUUUUUUAAUUAAAAAGGAAUAAGUUAACAUGUUUUUUUUCGCGAUAAGAUAAAUAAUCUUUUUGGUUUGUGAUCAACGAAUAUUUUAAACAAUUCGUGGGAUUAUCCGGGAGCAAUGAGAAUUUACUGUCGGAGCAGCUUAUGUUUUUACAUGAAUUAUUACGUUGAGAUAAAAUAGAUAAGCGCGGCUGCUAGAGAGGAGAUAUCGAAUCCCCCGAACGACACGUUCCAGCAAUCCAUCUUCAUCGCUUGGCGAUUCCGGCAUAAGCUGUUGCACGAUCGCAGUGACUAUCAGUCAUUGAUUUCUGUUUUGCGUGAGAAUAUAUUAUAUAUUUUCUAUAUACUAGUAGUGUAUUGCCAUAAAAUCUAUUAUAUUAAAACACACAUGUAGACUUAAUUAGAAUGAUUUUUAACGUAUAAGCUUUAAUAUUACAAGCUACUUUAAUAAUGAUUAUUAAUUUUUAUCUUAAAUAACUUAAUAAAAUAAACAAUGCAAAUGUCAUUAUAUUAUGCUAAUAGUAACGAGAAAUUUUAUUCUUAAUGUGAGAACUGCUUACUGUUAUCUUGAACUUGAUAAAUUUUGAACAAGUUGUUAAACUUACAACUUUUAGAAUUUUAAAUAGAAAGUAGAAUUUAGAAACACAUUAAUAGAUUUUUGGUACUUUAUUACACAAAAAGCGUCUUAUAAAUUUCAUUUUGUUAAUAAAUUUUAACAAAAUUUUUCAACAAUAUUUAUUAUAUUUAAAUUUUAUAUCUCUACCUUUCAAUAAUGUAAUGUUUGGAAUUUUCAAAACCAUUAGCGGACAAAAAAAUCAGUAAUCUGUAUAUCCAUUAACGUUUGCAUCAUAUACAAAAAGUAAAUCCGAUCGUACGCACGAGUGAAGCGGAAGCGUUCGUUUUCUGAUACAACUCCGGUCGAUUGGAAAUCCUCGAAUCUAUUGGUCGGAAAAGCAUAAAACAGUUGACUGCUACCAAUAAUGCAAGAAAAGCAUUGUUUAGAUUAUACGUUAAAUUUGAUUACUCAAUUAAAUAUUUGUUAUAUAUAUAUAUAUUCUAAAAACCAUUUUUCCAAUGUUCUAAUAAUAUCUCUCAUAUACUUUCUCUCGAUAUUUAUUAACAUUUUUAUUAGAUUUUUCUUUAGGAAUGGAAUUUAUACUUUUAUACUUAAAAAAAUCUUGAGUAACUCUGUAAAUUUUUAGAGCUCUUAGGUAAUAAUGACAAGUCCGAAUUUAACUUGAAAAAUUAAUUUUAAACUUUGAAGAGUUUCAAAGAAUUUACUUCAUUUAUUACAGGAAUUUAAAAAUUUUGUAUAAAAUAUUCAGUAAAAAGUAUAUCUUAGAGACUUAAAAGUGAAGUGGUAAAACAACCCCAAUAAUAGUAAAACCUCGUUUACAAUAAAUCGUUAUUCGUAAGAAAUUUAAGCAAUCAUGUUUGUUUAUUCGUUUCUAAGAUCAACUGUGAUUGACUAGAUUUCUUACAACCAACGGCUAACGACUCAUUGUAAACGAGACAUAUUAGAAUAAAUGUUUUGUUUAUUUAAUUAACUAGAAUGAAUUCUAUACAUAUAAAUAUUAAGAUAAUAUAGAUCGAUAUGUGAAAAUACAAUUAAAGACAAGCCAUAUUCAAGUUUAUGAGAUUGAAAAAGUAUAUAAAAUUACACAAAAAAUAUUAAUGCGAAAAUAACCUAAUCUACCCUACCAGAAUACAUUCUGGAUUGCUGCAUUAUGAAUUUAAUUAAACAGCUUGAAAUAGAUCAAAGUUUAUUUUAAGUUUUACGAAAUAGGAUAGUCAAAGGGAAAACGUAUCAUUAUAUAUAACACAUCUUUACUCAAAUAAAUAUACUAACAAUAAGCUUUUAUUCAAAAUAACAGAUGAGAUUAUUGCGCGCUUAAAUAUUUUGUCUUAUCAUUUCUGUUGUAAAUACGUGAUCAAAUUUCUAGAGAACCAACUAUAAGAAUUAUUUUAUAUAUGAGACAUUAGCUUUAUUUAUUAAAUGCAUUCGCGUUAUAUUGUUAGCCAACAAUGAACUGAAGAGACAUUGAGAGUAGACACAGACCACACUUUAUUAUUUAAUUCUUCAUAUUUAAUUUCACGGUUGCGCGGAAAUACCUUCGUCAUGCUUUGUAGAAAUGCUUGUCGAAAAGUUAAAAAAUGAGGGAGCUUGCUUUGUUUCGCUUUGAAUUCACUAUUUUGCUCAUUUUUUUGAGACGCUAUUCAUUGACGCGGCAAGUAGAAUAAGCAAAAUUUUAAUACCGGCUCUUGUUUCUCAAAUAACAAGCGUACAAUAUUCUCUAGAAAUAUUGCGUUAAUUACAAAAAUAUAUAAAACACUAAAGUAAAUAUCUAUUGUUAAUAAAUGGCAUUAUCGGAUUAAUUAGAAUAAAUUGGAUAAUACAGUGAUUUUUAAUAAUUGUUUUAUUUUAUUUAUUUAUAUUAGUUUCCUUUUCAUAUAUAAAUUGUAAAUGAUUAAUAUAAGUAUUUUAACACAAAAGUCUCUCUGUUAUUUGAAAUGACCUCAUUGACUCGGCAAUGUGGUCGAAAUGCUUUUGCAUAAAAUAAUCCGCGAUGAAACAGCAUGGAGUAGGAUUUUGAACAAAUUAACUGUAAAGUCUUGAUUAAAGCUACUUUAUAAUCCAGGUAGAAUGGCAACGAUAGUCAGAGAAAGUUGCAGGUAAUUGGCGUUAACUUCGAAUUAGCCAUAAGAUUAGCCGCGGACGUGCCAUCGCGGCAUCUCAUUCGACUGCUUCCCUUCGGCUAAUCCUGAGAAAUCGUAACGAUUAAACGUAAUUAGAAACCGAUAAAUGGCCUGCUCGUGCGAGCAACCGGUGUCAGUACAGCGCGAGAAAUUGGUUUAAUCUCACGAUACCGUAAGAGUGUCAUUUUGCGAGAAUUAGCAUAUCAUACGCACUUAUGGCUUUCAAUCGGCAGCAAUUGCACGCGUAGACAAUAUUAAACUCAAUAUGAAAUUAGCUUAAUAUCUCGCAUUCGACGGAAACUUAUUUGAAUAAUCAAAAAACUUACUUGAACUUAAAAGCGGUACUGAAAAUUAUUGCAGUUACAAAUUAAAAAAAAAUUAGAAUAACACUUUUUUAGCAAAUUUUAUAUAAAUCGCAAUUUUUAUCUUUACACUGUAAAAACAAAUGUGUGUAAAACAUGCGUUAAAGUAUGUUAAAAUGUGUCUCUACUUUUAACACACAAAAUUGGCAUGUUAAAAUUGAAAAGCGUGUUAAAAGAAUUUGUUUUUAAUAACAAAGUGUGCUCUAAUGGCACAUUAUUUCAUAGAUGUGUCAAUUUAACAUGCUAAUUUUAUGUGUUAAAAGUGGAGAGAUAUUUUAUCAUGCUUUAACGCAUGUUUCAUACAUACAUGUUUUGGCUAAUGUAGUACUUAGCGCGUUCGAUAGCUGCAUAGCAAUGCAAUUUCCAUUAAAAUAAAAUUUGUUCGAACAGAAAAAUAAGCAUUGUUAUUAAUUGAUAUUAAUACAGCUCAAUUUGCUUAAAGUUUUUGCUUAAACCGUGAAUUACUACUUUAUAAUUAUAAUAGCUAUAUUAAAUUUUCACUAAUUAAAUUUCAAACUCAUCAAACUAUCUAUAUGCGAGAUGUAAAGUGCGCGAUUAAUAAUAACGCGCAAUGUAUUACGUGACAUAUUAUAAUAACGUAUUAUCUACGUUGCAUCAUAUUAUAUCUCGCAUUAUAUUAUAAUUUCAAUGAAAAUUCUACAUGGGAUUCACACAGAAGCCAUUAAUAAUAAAGAAGCAAUAAAUAUGCACAUUUCAUUUUUAUAUUACUGUCGUAUAUAAAGUGAUAGAUGCAUUAGGCAUUGAUGUAUUUAGGUUCGUAAAAGUAGUCAGAAAAUGAUGAGCCGCUCUCUUAUCGUUGGAGUCUACUGGUAGAGAGCGACGUUAAACCGUAGACGCGUAUGUAAGAUCUCAAAUCCUCCGGGCAAAUAAGCGGCGCCAAUGAAACUUUGCUAGUUUUGGGUCAGCCGUGUUCCUAAAAUUGCCCCCCGUCAACCGAUAAACUUUGUGAGAACGAGGAAAGUCAAGUCUUGGCCAAGAAAUAAAGGGACAUCGAUGGUAGAACUCGGGGGAAAAACAGAGGAGAGAGAGCAAACUUCUUUCUUCUUAUUGCAACUUUUCGAUUUUCAUAUCUUCAAACUCUUACGGCGAGGUGCGAUGAUAUCGUCUUAUCGUCUCAAUGAGAGCGUUGAGAUACCUCGUAUUUAUCUGAAAGGACCAAAAAUGAAAUAUCCAAACGCGUUAAAACGAAUUAACAUAAAUUUUAGUAAAAGUUUCACAUUAUUGCUCUUUUAUUUGAUCUUAUAAAAUUCAGAUUUUAAUUCUAUGCCAAACAUAAAAUUCUUUUGGUCUAAUGUUAAUUUUGAUUGAAUGGAUAAGAUAAUAAGAGCAACAAAUGUCCGAAUACUCUUUGUGUUUAUCAAAAGAAGAAA